UACGUAGGGGGCAAGCGUUGUCCGGAUUUAUUGGGCGUAAAGAGCGUGUAGGCGGCUAGAUAGGUCCGUUGUGAAAACUCGAGGCUCAACCUCGAGACGUCGAUGGAAACCAUCUGGCUAGAGUCCGGAAGAGGAGAGUGGAAUUCCUGGUGUAGCGGUGAAAUGCGCAGAUAUCAGGAGGAACACCGGUGGUGUAGACGGCUCACUGGACCAUAACUGACGCUGAAACACGAAAGCGUGGGUAGCAAACAGG
rnacentral:rRNA from 1 species